rnacentral:misc_RNA from 1 species
AGCAGCCGCGGUAAUUCCAGCUCCAAUAGCGUAUAUUAAAGUUGUUGCAGUUAAAAAGCUCGUAGUUGAAUUUCGGGAUUGACGUGAUGGUCGUGCCUUAAGGGGUAUGAACUGUUGCUGUUGAUUUCUCACCUUCUGGAGAAACUUGAUGUCCUUAAUUGGGUGUCUUGCGGAUCCAGGACCUUUACCUUGAAAAAUUAGAGUGUUUAAAGCAGGCAUUUUUGCUCGAAUACAUUAGCAUGGAAUAAUAGAAUAGGACGGCAUGGUUCUAUUUUGUUGGUUUCUAGGAUCACCGUAAUGAUUAAUAGGGAUAGUUGGGGGCAUUAGUAUUCAAUUGUCAGAGGUGAAAUUCUUGGAUUUAUUGAAGACUAACUACUGCGAAAGCAUUUGCCAAGGAUGUUUUCAUUAAUCAAGAACGAAAGUUAGGGGAUCGAAGACGAUCAGAUACCGUCGUAGUCUUAACCAUAAACUAUGCCGACUAGGAAUCAGACGAUGUUAAUUUUUAAUGACUCGUUUGGCU